rnacentral:lncRNA from 1 species
UGCAAUUAAACCUCUAAUCGAUUGAGAUAAUAACAAAUUUAGCCCUCAACUUUUAUUUAUUAUAUCGAUUUAGUCAUAAUUUUUUUUAAAAAAUAACCUUCAAAAUUUAUAAAUAUUCUCAAUUUGAUCCUCAAAAUCUACCGUCCUAUUCCGCUUCUCUGACUGUCACUAUCAUAGUUACCUCCACCUCCUCCUCCACCUUUCUGAAAAAAAGAAAUUAAAAAAAAAGCUUCCCUUUUCCCUUUCUAUUCCCCACCCCCCCCC